rnacentral:rRNA from 1 species
UACGUAGGGACCAAGCGUUGUUCGGAUUUACUGGGCGUAAAGGGCUCGUAGGCGGCUCGGUAAGUCACUUGUGAAAUCUCUGAGCUUAACUCAGAACGGUCAAGUGAUACUGCUGUGCUAGAGUGCAGAAGGGGAAAUCGGAAUUCUUGGUGUAGCGGUGAAAUGCGUAGAUAUCAAGAGGAACACCUGAGGUGAAGACGGGUUGCUGGGCUGACACUGACGCUGAGGCGCGAAAGCGAGGGGAGCAAACGGG